CUCUGUACCAGGCAGCAGGCAGGCCAGCUGGUGAACCACCACCCUCAAGCCCUUUCCAGACCUCACUUCCAACAAAAAAGAGUUCUCUACUAAGAUGAAUUGCUUUGAUGUGUGAAGCAAAGCCAGUGAUACAGUCAGAACAUUUCAUAUAAUCUCUCCACUUUCCCACGCUUUGAGCAUCAAUACUGGGAAGGCUGCCCGUCCCUUAACUCUGUAUGACCAGGGGAUACCACAAUCUCUGCAUAAUCCACAGAGCAACAAAUAUUCUAAGUGGAUUUUCCCCUCUUCACUUCAUUCGUUGCAAACAAGUGCUCCUAUCGCUUCACAUUAAACUGUUUCAUUUCCUUCUGCUGUUCGAGCUCGGACAUGUCCAUACCCAUUCUUUGAUCAGAGGCUGGGAAAUACCGCCCUGGCUGAGGUAUUUCAGCCCAUCAUUGAUGCCCAUCAUUGAUGCCCAUCAUUGAUGCCCACAAAACUUGGAAACAAAACAAAUGUUUGCACAGGAACAGAGGUAUUUCAUCACUACUAAAGUAGAAAAAAGGGCCUAAGUGCACAAAUGCACAAGCCUCAAGUGUCACUCAGAACAUCAUGAAAUGGUUUGGGCGUUGGAAGGAAUCUUUAAAGGUUAUCUAGUCCAACUUCCCUACAACGACAAGGGACAUCUUCAACCAGAUCAGGAUCCUCAGAGCUCUGUCCAACCUGACUUGAAUGUUUCCAGGGACAGGCAUCCACCACCUCUCCAAGCAAGAGGAGUUGCCAGCAUUUCAUCACCCACAUUGCAAAAAAACGUCUUCCUUGUAUAUAAUCUAAAUCAAACUUUUUUGAGUUUAAAACCAGAACCCCUUGUACAACCACAACAGGACCUGCUUAAAAGUUUGUCCCCAUCUUUUGUGUUAGUCCUCACCCACUCUUUACAGACCAUGGCUCAGCUACAGAUCCCAUAAAAGCUCAUGCAGAAGUACGUGUGGUAACUGCAGCAGGAACAAAUCCUCUCCAGCUCUGCUUUGUAUGGUGACAGCAACAACGGCAAAAACUCUGUGAAUGUUUUAAAAACCUGUCAAAUCACUGCAGCGCAAUACAUACAAAUAUCCACUGUACACUACAGGACUUCAAUACCAGCUAGCACUUCCAGCAUAUACAUAUUUUACUACUUUGUAAAGUAAAAGCAGCCUAAUUUUGAAGACCACUGGGUCCCUGCUGCUCCUACUGAUAAUGACAGCAGUAACUUCCCAGCAGUGAUGGGAAGGAAGCCCUAUCACCAGAACACACUGAACUACUUUGCCAGCAGGUGCCUAACUUAAUGUGGUUUUAUGUGGAUCUGGA